CAACUUUGUGGCUCCGGUGCUCUCCCUACGAAAAUCUCCAUCAAAGUUCAAUCUUCUCUCGUGAUUCUUUUGAAUCUUCUCUGUCGCGCAUCUCUGGGUCGGUGCUCUCCCUACCAAAAGCUCCAUCAAAGACGGUCCAUCAAAGACGGUAUCUUCACUGUGUACCCUCCCUUCCACAUACGACAUUUUAUGGAUGAGUUUAAAGAAACGUGUAAUUUGAAUGAAAAUGGUUUUAUUGAUUGUAACCGUAGUGAGGUUGAAAAAUCAAUUAAUAUAGAUAGUCAAAUUGAUGAAGAGGAUAAUUUACAAGAUGAAGGUGAUGAAGAUGUAUACAAAAGUUAUCUUGAUCUGAUUGCAGAUGAUAUUUUUGGAUUGGAGUUUGCAAGUGAAAAUGUUGCUUAAAAAUUUUAUUUCACUUAUGCUAAGUGUCAUGGUUUUGGGAUCAGAAAAGAUGAGGUAGGUUAUGAUGAUAAGCACAAUAUUUUGAUGCGACAAUAUUUAUGCAACAAAGCUGGAUUAAGAGACAAAAAACAUUUCAUGAGAGAUGAUAGGAAAAAAGAACAUAGAUCACUAUCUCGUACAUAUUGUAAAGCAAAGUUACGUGUGCGUUUGGAUCGUCAAACCUCUAAAUUUAAGGUUGUUUCAUUUGAGGAAGGUCAUAAUCAUAAUUUAUGUGGUUCUAAUUUUGUGCAAUUAAUCCGUACGUACCGUGGUUUGACUUUUGCAAACAAAGUUCAGGUUGAUUUAUUACAUGCCCAAGGUGUUAGGACAUGCCAUAUAAUGGGUUUUAUGUUGGACCAAACAGGUGGGCAUAUCGGCCUUAACUUUAACAAAAAAGAUUUGUUCAAUCAUAUUGAGCGUAGUAAGCGUUUUAAGAUCAAAGAUGGAGAUGUAGUGGCUGCUUUGAGUUAUCUUCAAGGCAAGGCAAAUAAUGAUCCACUAUUUUUUUCAAGGUACAUGAUAUCAUCUGAGGGUCAGUUGAAACACCUAUUUUGGGCUGAUGGUACGAGCAGAAGUGAUUUUCAA